rnacentral:rRNA from 1 species
GAUGAACGCUGGCGGCGUGCCUAAUACAUGCAAGUCGAGCGAACAGACGAGGAGCUUGCUCCUCUGACGUUAGCGGCGGACGGGUGAGUAACACGUGGAUAACCUACCUAUAAGACUGGGAUAACUUCGGGAAACCGGAGCUAAUACCGGAUAAUAUAUUGAACCGCAUGGUUCAAUAGUGAAAGACGGUUUUGCUGUCACUUAUAGAUGGAUCCGCGCCGCAUUAGCUAGUUGGUAAGGUAACGGCUUACCAAGGCAACGAUGCGUAGCCGACCUGAGAGGUGAAUGGCCCACACUGAACCGGGAAACGGUCCCAGCCCCUUAGGGAGGCAGGCAGUGGGAAUCUUCCCGAAUGGGGCAAAGCCCUAAGGAGCAAACGCCGGGUGGGGAAGAAGGUCUUCGGAUCCGAAAAACCCUUUAUUUGGGAAGAACAAAUGGUGAAGUAACCUAUCAACGCUUGACGGUUACUUAUUCGAAAGCCACGGCCAACCUCGGU